AAGUUUCUCACUAUUGAUUACUUUAAUUUUUUAAAGUAUUAACGUUUUAAUAUGAUUUGUGACCCCAUCGUUAUACCCUGCUCAAAUUUUAGAGCUAGAUUAAGCAAUUGUUUUAAUUGGCUUAGUAUAUCAGUCAGGACCAGUAAAAAGGUAUAUAAUCUACGAAGGAAUAUGCAUAUGUUUUGAAAGCAGGCAACAACUAUUCAUCUUCAGUGCUUAGUAGUUGUAAAAAAAAAGAGAAAUAACACAUUAAUAAUAAAAUUUGUCCUUGAUGGUGCUUUCCCCUGUUAAGAUAUUUAUCAACUGGCCAAAAAUGAGUAAUACACAAAAUAAUACUUGACGAAUUGUUGCUUAAAGACUGAAUUUUAUAUACAAUACAAUUUAUUAGAUUCCCCAAAACUGCCUUUGAAAGCUAAAUUUAUCUCUAAUUAAAAUAUCUCACUUUUUACAUAAAUAUGUAGCUAAUAGUAAAAGAUAAUGAUAAUAUCGCCUUAUAAUUAUGUAGUCCUUAAACUAAAGAAAUUGUCGUUCUAGCAACACUUUUAUACAUAUUUACUUUUACUAGGUAGAGACACCGUGCUACUUUUAAGCAUGUUGUACGUAUUCGUACUCAUAUUCAAUGUGUAAAUUUAAAUUCUGUGAUAUUAUUUAUCUAAUUACGUAAUAACAAUAUAUGCAAUUAGUCAUUUUGUUUUUCUUUAAUAAUAAUUACUAUUUUUUAAUAUAUGAUGUAUAAAUUUUGUGAUUAUAGUAGGAUUUGUAAUUGAAAAGGUUCUCAACACACUGUAAUGAAACACCAAGUGUAAAAAAUAGAUUCUUUUUGUUACUUAUUCAUUUGCAAAUUAAUUUAUAUAAUAAUACGUAAGUGCGUACCACAUAUAUGAAACUGUAAUUAAAUUAAGUUCGUAAAUUUGUAAUAUGUACUUCUUUCAUAAAUAUAUUAGGAAUUCUACUUUAAUUAAGUAACCAUACCAUAAUGUUACAUUCCUUACAACUAAACAUUCACGACAAAAGUUAUUUUUUCGCAGGGGGUCUGCAUUUUAAUUAACAAAUGUAUUCUUUAUUUGCAAAUGUACACGAAAAGAACUUACACCAGCAAUUUGUAUCAUUCUCAUUUCAAACCGCACUCAGAAACUGUUAUCACCACUGAAUUCUACGUACAUAUUUACAUAAGCUACAUCUAGAAAAGUUGAAACCUAUGAUUUAAAAGUAAAAAGUUUAAAAGCCCUAUCCGUAUGUACAAUUUUUAGGUAUAUAUGCAACGUGGAUUUUUGCGGUGUAUAUUGAGUUGCAUAUCACUUAUUUAUAGAAACAGUAGUUACUUUUAUUUAGUAUAGUGAUUUUUACUUGUAAAAGUUUGGGAUUUAGAUAUUACUUCUUUUUCUAUCGAUUUCUAUGAUUUCCAUCAUAGAUUAGAGUUGUAUAAUACUCAUUGAACUAGUCUAUAGUUCGCCUCCACCUCAAUGAUAAUACUAUUUAUUUCUCUAAUCUACAUCUAUGAUUUCCGUCAUGGCGAAGAAAAAGAAAACGUUUAUUAUCAACCUGUUUAGCUGCGAUGUCUCAUUAUCAAGCACAUGUAAUGUUUACACACUCGCAAUCUCAUAGAUGAGGAAUGAUACCCAACGUUCACCACCGUCCACCAUCCUUACGUUCAGAAGUGGAUGUUUUAACGAAGUUGGAUUAAUAUUAGAAAAAAGGCAUCCAGCAAAUCAGCCUAAAUUCUUGGUAAUAAAACAAACCCUUCAAAAGCAACAUUAUAAGUGCUAGGCAUCAUACCCUUUUUUUCUGGGAAAUGAAGACAGUGAUUACAAGGUAAAACAAAUUAUUAUAGAAGGCAUUUAUGGCACUGAAUUGGUUACUUAUUGGAUGACAAAGCAUGAAGGAGCAUUGCAAUACACUCUAGGCACCAUAUAUCAUGGUCCAUUAGUCAUAGUAGCAGUCUUUUACUCUAAAAUAUGGUUGCUUGUGAAGGAAGCAGGAUUUUUUUCUACUGGAAACAUACAUGGUGUCUUUUGGAAAAGAAGAACUUAUCUUAUGGCAAUAAAUUCCCAACAUCUUGUUCCGCC